AAAGCAGAGAGCGGAUGUCUGAUUACUCAGGUGAUGAGAUAUAUCGGGGUUGGAUUUCCAACCUCGAACAUAGGGUCAGAGUUUUUCUGGCCCUAAGAGGCGAAUGACCUAAAGGUUAAAGCCUUUAUGAUCGAAACAAAGGAAUGUUUAACACUCUUUCACACCCUAUCGGGAAGAUGUCGGCUCGAAAAUGCCUUGUUUGAUAUUCCUUCGCUCUGUUUCUCUAGCGAUGCAUAAUGUAAACAUAAAGCUUUUUUUAUGUCGACGCGGUUGAUGCAAAUGGUGCAGAAUUGUCCGAUGACGGGCCGAUCGAAGCGCUACAAUCGGCCCUAUAUCGUGCUCAAUCGGUCCGAUAAUCGGACCGAUGAUCGGACUUAUGCGGGUCUACAAAUUUCACUGGGUAAGGGUGGUUCUACACACAAAAAAUGACCAUCAGAUAAAAUUUCAUCAACUUCUGCUCUUUUCUCUACAACCUGCUCAUUUUCUUUUUCUCUGAGAGAUGGUUUAGUAACAGUUAGUACAUCAAGAUACUGUAUACUGUAACGUGUUUUUAAGUGCUGACAUGUAAAGUUCGUUUGGCAAAAGUAGCAGUCUUUUGGUUUGUGAAUUACUCGAUGAUGCCAAAUCAUUCGGCUCGAAAACGACAAACAAUUCUUAUGACUCUGAUUUGAUUGCCACUUUUUUAGUGAAAUUGUGCACGUCGAACAGAUAUAUUCUGGUUCGUACCAACGACUUUCGCUGUACUUGCGAUUAAAGUGAAGGUUGUGUAACGUUAGAUUAAAUUAAUUAGCUUAAGUGGGAAACAUUACCCAGUAACGUGGAAAAAACGAAUAAACGAGCACUCGCGAUGAGUGCUGAAACGACAUCCGACACAUUCAGUUUGCACCGCACGUUAUAAAAACGCCAAAAUGGGACGAUCAGAGUCAUUUCCGCUAAAGGGAAAAUCAUAUUUGGAUAUUCAUUUGGAUCCAGAACUGGAACUCGGGUGCACGUGCAACGUUCUGCCUGCUGGUCAAAGCAUCUGAAGCCAGUUACACGAGAAGGGACAGAGAGUACUUUAUGCGUCACACAUCAGCCACGCGCAUUUGCAACAAAAAAUUAGCAAGCAGAAAAAUAAAGGAAACGCUAUCGCAUUCGAAGAAUCUUUCAGCGCCCUUCGCCAGAAAACAAAGUUUAGUUUUCGAAUCAGCAAAAGCGACUGAUCUAACACCAUCCGCAAAUCCUCCAGCUUGGCAAGCAGCCGGCUGUAAGACAUAAGUCUUAGGUGACGAAGCCACUUACUAACAUAGCUCGCUGGGUCGGGUAUGUACAGGCCAUAAGAAAAUCCACCUAUUAUGAAUCGAAUCCAACAGUUGUAAGUUUCCGGGAAAAACAGUUCAGCAACCAACAGAACGAGCAGGCGGUUAUAUCAUUCGUCAUCCAAUAGUUGACACACGAUACAACGAUACAACGGGGAUCAAAUAGAUCCCCGUUUUAUACAUCAAGCAGAACCUUUCAUACCUUGAGAAAAGGAAAUCAGACUGCAAGCAAAGGAAACAACACGAAGAAACUGGUAUCACAGUCGUGAUUUUCUCAAGUUUUCGCGCCAUUCGAGAAACGGCUACGGUUGGAAGAACGAGAUCCUUGAAAUCUCGAGCCCCGCUCGUACCAUUUGUGAGUAGCUAGUAUUAAGAGAAGAAGAAAAAGGUAGAUUAAGACAGAUGAUGAAAUGGGACAGAGAGAUUAAGAGUUAGAAUAAAUGUGUUAUUUUGAAACUCCUUUGGUGAUUUGUUGGCGUAUCCAUUUCUUUCCUUUUGGUGCUACCGCAUGACGGAGCUGAUCUUGAGUCUCUGAGUAAAGUUACAAUUGUAUGCUUGAACCACGAUAUUAUUUACCUUUAAUUCACGACGAUGCUGCUUUUCAACAAACAAGUUGCAUACAUAACAAAAACUAUUGAAUUUGUCACACAGAACUUCAGAACAAAUUGGCUCAAAUGGCACGUUCCCCUUGAUAUUUGGAGAUUUGUGCCUGUGCCUGUGCCUGUGCCUGUGCCUGUGCCUGUGCCUGUGAUGAAUUUCACCAUCAACACAUACAUGGCUCACUGACGCACUGACUGAGCAGCACAUAGUUCUUCAUUCAUUCCAUUCUCAAUUGAAACUUAGUUCAAUCGUUGUCAGUGUUCUUCGAAAAAAC